UUCAGUGUGGUUCUUCAGCAAAAGACAAGCUGCUUAACCAGGAUGCUUCACUUCUCUCCACAAAGACGGUACACAGCGUAAUUACACAGUGAAGUUGUCACAUGGUUCUUUCCAAGCAAGCUCAUUCCUUCUUGAGGAUCACUGGAAUGAUGUCUUCAGUGAGUGGAAGAAGGUUCACCAGUGGCCGUGUCCUGCACUGGGAUAGCCCAUUCCUGAAAUCCACAUCUUUGUGGACGGUGAGGGCAAGUGGACAAGACCCACGCAGAGUUUCUUGAAAGUGUGGAAACCUGUGUAAACGAGCAGAGAACGUGACGCAAAAUAACCAUCACCUUGCUAAGGAGACACAUCAAGAUGGGAAGCAGCAGUCACACUUACGAAAAUCAGAUUGGUGGGCUUGGGUCUCAGUGUUUUUAUAUAUGUAAAGUAUGCAUUUCAGUAUCUGCCAGAAUGGGAUGUUAUUUUACUAUGACUACAUUUCGAAUGCCUGGUUCCACAAUUUAAGAACA